AAAUUCUACUGCCUCCUUCCAGUCUCCCUCUUCUGCACAAACAGAUGAUGACAUGUUAUCUUCUAGAGCCAUUUACACCACCGUACGGCCGGAUGAGACUAAACUCAAGGGUCGCAGAAAGAGAGCUGACUGAAGACAAAAUCACAUCUGAGUGAAAGUGAAGUCAAUGAAGUAAUCCACAUUUAUCACAUU